rnacentral:lncRNA from 1 species
ACCUAUUUCCCUCCAAAUUAUUAUAUUUCAUUCAUUACCCCAGUGUCUAGUGUACAUACACUGGGAAACCUAGUACUUCUAAUAUGAAGAAUGGGAGAAAUGAAAGGUAUAAUGUUUCUUGAAAUAAAUAAUAUAAUUGUCCUUGUUAAUUAUAUUAUGAGGACAGAAGAUACUCUGAUAAGAGAGAACGUGGUGCUUUGCUUACUGUUUUAAAGAAAAUUUGUAAAACUAAAGACUUUUUGGAAAAAAGCUAUCUUAAGUGCUUUUUCUUUAUUUACAAGACAUUUCCCCCCGUGGUAGCAUCUGAAGUAUUGGAGUGUUCUGCCACGAAGCAAAGCUCCAGUCAUGGCCGUCACUGAAGGUUAUUUAUUAAUGUUACGUAACAGUAGAAUAUUACUAGUUCGAGGGUUGGAUUUGACUUGGUCCUAAGGCCACAGAAUCUCUCUCAUGGCUUCCUAAGGGACGUACCUUUAUGCUUUUAAGAACUACAAAGAUUCAAUAAAGAAAGAAGUGUUUUUGAAACUAUAGAAAAAGAUUUUAAAACACGCUGCUGUCCUAAACAAAUCCUGUUUAAAGGAAUUUUAAAGAGAUGCAUUUUACUAUAUCAGAGAACAUACAUGUAUUUGCCUAAACACUCUGUACCUUUGUAAUGAUGAAACUUCCCCCUCUACGUGAUCGGAAGAGGGAUCAUAUCCUUCCAAUACCUGUGAUCGAUCCCAUCCAACCCUCCCUUUUCUGCAUGAGGCCUGACGUGGAUGCUACUUCCCCAAACCUACACGUUCAGUACACGGCAGAGCCUAAACUGGAGGUCGGUCUGGUGGGGGUUCUGGUUUGCCCAAAAGAGAUGUGGGGUAAAUGAGAGAGUGAUGGCAUCAGGCUCAUUUGCUGACCAGAACCCUGGGCUGACUUAGAGAAUGGUAACGAAAAGACAGGAUAGAUGAAGAAGUGGGAGAAAUGGGGCCAUGCACGUGUGUGUGUGUGUGUGUGUGUGUGUGUGUUCUAAUAUUGGAAUGUGCUUGCGAUAUUACAGUACAAUGACAAGUGACAGACUGGAUUAAGAAAAUGUGGCAUAUAUAUACCAUGGAAUACUAUGCAGCCAUAAAAAAGGAUGAGUUUGGGUCCUUUGUAGGGACAUGGAUGCAGCUGGAAACCAUCAUUCUCAGCAAACUAUCACAAGAACAGAAAACCAAACACCGCAUGUUCUCACUCAUAGGUGGGAACUGAACAAUGAGCUCACUUGGACUCAGGAAAGGGAACAUCACACAGUGGGG